UUACAGCUGGCUAAUUUAAGAAUUAUUUCGUAAAAGUUUGAAUUUUUUUAAUCUACGCUAAAGCAAUACAGACCGAAGUCUUGUGUUCAAAUCACAUCAAUGUUAUCUCGCUCACGAAUGAAGAUGCCUUGAGUGACAGCCGCCGAUGAAGCUUUGGAGUGGCAACGUUGAAAAAAAGAGACAAAGACGGAACGAAAAGCUUAAGAACGAAGAUGGAGCCAUAGCAUACCCAGACUAAGAUUUAUUCUUAGUCGAUGUAAAUACUAACUUAUGUGAGCUGUAGCAUAAAAAGUCCCUUCUACCUAUUGAAUGCUUGUUUAAAAUGAAUGUUUAUGGUAUAUGAUGUGUGGCGUGAGGAAGUAUAUACAGAGAUCAAAAGAUUAAUUAAAUCCACCUUUGUACACGUUAGUAAUGUAACGUGGUUGGGAAUCUUGGGUUUUAUUUCUCCAUGUUUGUGUGUAUGUGUGUGUAAACAACCUGCAUAAGAACGGUGCGCGCAGGUCAGA